UUAAAAACGAUAAGUGAAAAAAAGAAAAAAAAUAUACAAAAUUUUCCAGCAUCCGAUCGAACCAAACAGUUUUAGCUGGAGCUCAUUCACCGUUUCUGCUGGACCAGACACCGGAAACCUCGGAACCUGGAACAUUGGGCAGGCAUGCAGGCACGAACGGGUACGUGCUCCUGGAGGGCGCAUGCCGGAAUACAGCCUGCCUUUCAGAGCCGCAGGAAUCUAGAUCCGAUCCUGAACGGAUAUUCUCAUCCGCAUAUUUGUUCCAUGAAAGAUCGAUGGGCGGAAGAGAUUCAUCAAAACUCAAACUCCAACUCCAUAGGGCCGACAUUCCUUCAAUCCCGCAUGGACGGCCAUCAAUAGGUCCUUCCAGAGUUGGCCUUUACCACAAGCAGCAUCGCCGCUUUCAUUAUUGGAGCUUGAGGAGACAAUGGUUGGUUUGGUGGCUUUACCCCGUUAAAUAAUA